GCAUCGAUGAAGAACGCAGCCAGUUGCGAUAAGUAGUGUGAAUUGCAGAAUUCAGUGAAUCAUCGAAUCUUUGAACGCAAAUUGCGCUCUCUGAAUAUCCAGGGAGCAUGCCUGUCUGAGCGUCGUUUAAUAAUCUACACACAAUUUGUGUGGGUAGGGAGUUCAUGUGACGUAGUGCACGACACCUGUCUCUCCAUGUGUCUGAACCUUGUGGUGCGCCCCUGCGUGCUGCUUGGAAGGCUCAACUUGCUUCUGUCCUUCUGAUGCAGUCAUCGCGUUGCGUACUCCUCGCAGUUCUCGUUCGACUGUUUUCAGUCGAAAAUCUUCUAUUUUGACCUCAGAUCAGACAAGACUACCCGCUGAAUUUAAGCAUAUCAAUAAGCGGAGGA
rnacentral:rRNA from 1 species